GCAGUGGUAGUUUAGUGGUAGAAUUCUCACCUUCCAUGCAGGAGACCCAAGUUUGAUACCUGGCCAAUGCC
rnacentral:tRNA from 1 species